GAUGAACGCUGGCGGCGUGCCUAAUACAUGCAAGUCGAGCGAACGGACGAGAAGCUUGCUUCUCUGAUGUUAGCGGCGGACGGGUGAGUAACACGUGGAUAACCUACCUAUAAGACUGGGAUAACUUCGGGAAACCGGAGCUAAUACCGGAUAAUAUUUUGAACCGCAUGGUUCAAAAGUGAAAGACGGUCUUGCUGUCACUUAUAGAUGGAUCCGCGCUGCAUUAGCUAGUUGGUAAGGUAACGGCUUACCAAGGCAACGAUGCAUAGCCGACCUGAGAGGGUGAUCGGCCACACUGGAACUGAGACACGGUCCAGACUCCUACGGGAGGCAGCAGUAGGGAAUCUUCCGCAAUGGGCGAAAGCCUGACGGAGCAACGCCGCGUGAGUGAUGAAGGUCUUCGGAUCGUAAAACUCUGUUAUUAGGGAAGAACAUAUGUGUAAGUAACUGUGCACAUCUUGACGGUACCUAAUCAGAAAGCCACGGCUAACUACGUGCCAGCAGCCGCGGUAAUACGUAGGUGGCAAGCGUUAUCCGGAAUUAUUGGGCGUAAAGCGCGCGUAGGCGGUUUUUUAAGUCUGAUGUGAAAGCCCACGGCUCAACCGUGGAGGGUCAUUGGAAACUGGAAAACUUGAGUGCAGAAGAGGAAAGUGGAAUUCCAUGUGUAGCGGUGAAAUGCGCAGAGAUAUGGAGGAACACCAGUGGCGAAGGCGACUUUCUGGUCUGUAACUGACGCUGAUGUGCGAAAGCGUGGGGAUCAAACAGGAUUAGAUACCCUGGUAGUCCACGCCGUAAACGAUGAGUGCUAAGUGUUAGGGGGUUUCCGCCCCUUAGUGCUGCAGCUAACGCAUUAAGCACUCCGCCUGGGGAGUACGACCGCAAGGUUGAAACUCAAAGGAAUUGACGGGGACCCGCACAAGCGGUGGAGCAUGUGGUUUAAUUCGAAGCAACGCGAAGAACCUUACCAAAUCUUGACAUCCUUUGACAACUCUAGAGAUAGAGCCUUCCCCUUCGGGGGGCAAAGUGACAGGUGGUGCAUGGUUGUCGUCAGCUCGUGUCGUGAGAUGUUGGGUUAAGUCCCGCAACGAGCGCAACCCUUAAGCUUAGUUGCCAUCAUUAAGUUGGGCACUCUAAGUUGACUGCCGGUGACAAACCGGAGGAAUGUGGGGAUGACGUCAAAUCAUCAUGCCCCUUAUGAUUUGGGCUACACACGUGCUACAAUGGACAAUACAAAGGGCAGCGAAACCGCGAGGUCAAGCAAAUCCCAUAAAGUUGUUCUCAGUUCGGAUUGUAGUCUGCAACUCGACUACAUGAAGCUGGAAUCGCUAGUAAUCGUAGAUCAGCAUGCUACGGUGAAUACGUUCCCGGGUCU
rnacentral:rRNA from 1 species